rnacentral:rRNA from 1 species
AUGCGGAAGGCAAGGGAGAGGCUCCGCGCCCUGUCCACCGUGAAGGAGCAGCUUGGCAUCCGACCGGCCGAGGCAUCCGCAUCAAGCUCAGCCCCUGCAGUGGCCGGUAUCUGCCGGAACAUAUCAGAGGCAGCGCACUUCGUGGAGGAAGGGAAAAUUGCCGGUUUUGCCGAGCACACAAGGUUACUGAUGAAAUGGCUAACCAGGGUUGCCGACCCGCGGCGGAUAAUAGUUGCGGUCUGUGGGGUGGGCGGUGUUGGCAAGACUACUGUUGCCACUAACGUGUACAAUAAAAUCGCUGCAAACUGCAAUUUCGAUUGCACCGCAUGGGUUACCGUCUCCAAGAACUUCACGACGGAGGACCUCAUGAGGAGAAUCAUCAAGGAACUUCAUCGGGGUGUCCGAGACAAUGCACUGGGGGACACACAGGAGAUGGACUAG